rnacentral:rRNA from 1 species
GAUGAACGCUAGCGGCAGGCUUAAUACAUGCAAGUCGAGGGGCAGCAGCUCUGUAGCAAUACAGAGGCUGACGACCGGCAAACGGGUGCGGAACACGUACACAACCUUCCUUUAAGCGGGGAAUAGCCCGGGGAAACCCGGAUUAAUACCCCAUAGUAUAUUGAAGAGGCAUCUCUUUACUAUUAAAGAUUUAUCACUUGAAGAUGGGUGUGCGGCUGAUUAGCUAGUUGGCGGGGUAACGGCCCACCAAGGCAACGAUCAGUAACUGGUGUGAGAGCACGACCAGUCACACGGGCACUGAGACACGGGCCCGACUCCUACGGGAGGCAGCAGUAAGGAAUAUUGGUCAAUGGACGAAAGUCUGAACCAGCCAUGCCGCGUGGAGGAUGAAGGUCCUCUGGAUUGUAAACUUCUUUUAUAUGGGACGAAAAAAGGCUUUUCUAAGUCGUCUGACGGUACCAUAUGAAUAAGCACCGGCUAACUCCGUGCCAGCAGCCGCGGUAACAC